GUAAGGAAUAUUGGUCAAUGGACGCAAGUCUGAACCAGCCAUGCCGCGUGAAGGAUGAAGGUCCUCUGGAUUGUAAACUUCUUUUAUCUGGGACGAAAACGGGAUUUUUAUCUCAAUUGACGGUACCAGAGGAAUAAGCACCGGCUAACUCCGUGCCAGCAGCCGCGGUAAUACGGAGGGUGCGAGCGUUAUCCGGAUUUACUGGGUUUACAGGGUGCGUAGGUGGGCUUAUAAGUCAGUGGUGAAAUCUCCGAGCUUAACUUGGAAACUGCCGUUGAUACUAUAGGUCUUGAAUUAUCUGGAGGUAAGCGGAAUAUGUCAUGUAGCGGUGAAAUGCUUAGAUAUGACAUAGAACACCAAUUGCGAAGGCAGCUUACUACAUAUAAAUUGACGCUGAGGCACGAAAGCGUGGGGAUCAAACA
rnacentral:rRNA from 1 species